rnacentral:rRNA from 1 species
CCAAUAGCGUAUAUUAAAGUUGUUGCAGUUAAAAAGCUCGUAGUUGAAUUUCGGGGUCAGUGAGUUGGUCGUGCCACUGGUAUGCACUGGCUUUACUGAUUCCUCCUUCUUGAAGAACUGUAAUGCUAUUAAUUUAGUGUUGCAGGGAAACAGGACUGUUACUUUGAAAAAAUUAGAGUGUUUAAAGCAGGCUAACGCUUGAAUACAUUAGCAUGGAAUAAUGAAAUAGGACGUUUGAUCCUAUUUUGUUGGUUUCUAGGAUUGACGUAAUGAUUAAUAGGGAUAGUUGGGGGCAUUAGUAUUCAAUUGUCAGAGGUGAAAUUCUUGGAUUUAUUGAAGACUGACUACUGCGAAAGCAUUUGCCAAGGAUGUUUUCAUUAAUCAAGAACGAAAGUUAAGGGAUCGAAGACGAUCAGAUACCGUCGUAGUCUUAACCAUAAACUAUGCCGACUAGGAAUCGGAUGAUGUUAAUUUUUUAAUGACUCAUUCGGCGCCUUACG